rnacentral:rRNA from 1 species
GGUUAAGCGACUAAGCGUACACGGUGGAUGCCCUGGCAGUCAGAGGCGAUGAAGGACGUGCUAAUCUGCGAUAAGCGUCGGUGAGGUGAUAUGAACCGUUAUAACCGGCGAUUUCCGAAUGGGGAAACCCAGUGUGAUUCGUCACACUAUCAUUAACUGAAUCCAUAGGUUAAUGAGGCGAACCGGGGGAACUGAAACAUCUAAGUACCCCGAGGAAAAGAAAUCAACCGAGAUUCCCCCAGUAGCGGCGAGCGAACGGGGAGGAGCCCAGAGCCUGAAUCAGUGUGUGUGUUAGUGGAAGCGUCUGGAAAGGCGUGCGAUACAGGGUGACAGCCCCGUACACAAAAAUGCACAUAUUGUGAGCUCGAUGAGUAGGGCGGGACACGUGGUAUCCUGUCUGAAUAUGGGGGGACCAUCCUCCAAGGCUAAAUACUCCUGACUGACCGAUAGUGAACCAGUACCGUGAGGGAAAGGCGAAAAGAACCCCGGCGAGGGGAGUGAAAAAGAACCUGAAACCGUGUACGUACAAGCAGUGGGAGCCUCUUAAUGGGGUGACUGCGUACCUUUUGUAUAAUGGGUCAGCGACUUAUAUUCUGUAGCAAGGUUAACCGAAUAGGGGAGCCGAAGGGAAACCGAGUCUUAACUGGGCGUUAAGUUGCAGGGUAUAGACCCGAAACCCGGUGAUCUAGCCAUGGGCAGGUUGAAGGUUGGGUAACACUAACUGGAGGACCGAACCGACUAAUGUUGAAAAAUUAGCGGAUGACUUGUGGCUGGGGGUGAAAGGCCAAUCAAACCGGGAGAUAGCUGGUUCUCCCCGAAAGCUAUUUAGGUAGCGCCUCGUGAAUUCAUCUCCGGGGGUAGAGCACUGUUUCGGCAAGGGGGUCAUCCCGACUUACCAACCCGAUGCAAACUGCGAAUACCGGAGAAUGUUAUCACGGGAGACACACGGCGGGUGCUAACGUCCGUCGUGAAGAGGGAAACAACCCAGACCGCCAGCUAAGGUCCCAAAGUCAUGGUUAAGUGGGAAACGAUGUGGGAAGGCCCAGACAGCCAGGAUGUUGGCUUAGAAGCAGCCAUCAUUUAAAGAAAGCGUAAUAGCUCACUGGUCGAGUCGGCCUGCGCGGAAGAUGUAACGGGGCUAAACCAU